UACAAACAGUAUAAUUUUAUUUCUCACAGUUCUGGAGGCUGGGAAGUCCAAGAUCAAGGUGCCAACUGAUUCAAUGUCUGGUGAGAGCCAGCUUCCUGGCUUUGCAGACAACACCU